UAUAGAGACGCAAGCUUCUAGCAGCGGCUAAGGGGGACCCGCCUGCCUUCGCUACCGUGUUCCGCGCGCUGCAGGCACGGAACACGCGGCUGAGAGGCGCGCCGCACUUCCUCAAAGGAGAACAAUGUGACAGUUACGUGGAGUAUUACAAGCAAAUCACCUCAGAAUAAGUAUAAUUUUGAAAAUUUUAACAAAUCAUAUAAAUAUUCUUAUUGUUCACGUUGAUUGUUAUUUACAAAUGAUUACCUAUUAUUAUUGAAUCUGUAAAUAAUUAAAUGUAUAUUUUGUUAUGAAAUAUAGAUGGUGAUAUUUUGA